UUUGUGCAUUCACAGCAUUUCUACAGUGGAAAAGACCUUCAGGGUAACUAGGAGUGGGUGAGACUCAUCAAGAAAAAUAGCUUCUCUACCACAACAACAACAAAUGACGGGAGAGACAGAAACUUCUUUGGGAGAGCAGAGGGAAAAAAGGUGAAGUCUAAGUAUUACUGAGCAUGUGAAAGAAGAGUCAUUUAUUUAAUAGGAAGUAACUCAUUCACACAAAUAUAACUUUGUGGUCCCUCAGAAGUACGUAAAUACUACCAAGCAGUCCACCACAGUUUAUCAUCAAAAUUUCUUGGGAAAUGCCUCGUUAAAGAGUCUUUGAGAGAAUAAGGUUGCACAUUGCUUAAAGUUGGAGUUCUGGACCACUUGUUUCAUAAGCUUCCAGUUGUGCUUGAACAAAAAAGGCAACUUCUUUGCCCAAUGCUGGACUUAUUAAAUCAGAAUCUCUUGGAAAGUGGGACCCUGAAAGCUACAUUUAAUCUGCUUUUUGAAUGACUCUUAUCUGCUCAGGGGUGAACAGUAAAGAUCAGAAGACAAG
rnacentral:lncRNA from 1 species